CCCUAGGUAACCACCAAUCAAUCCAGUUUCUGUCUCUAUAGAUUUUUCUGUUCUGGAAAAUUCAUAUAAAUUGAAUCAUACAAUAUGUGGUCUUUUGUGAUUGGCUUCAUUCACUUAGUAUGAGGGUUUCAAUGUUCAUCUAUGUUAUAGAUGUGUUGUAGCAUGUAUCAGUAAUUCAUUUGUUUUUAUUGCUGAAUAAUAUUCCAUUAUGUAGAUACACUAGAUUUUAUUGAUCCAUUUAUCAAUUGGUGCACAUUUAUGUUGUUUCUGCUUUUUGGCCAUUAUGAAUAAUAUUGCUAUGAACAUUUGUAAAUAAGUUUUUAUGUAGACAUGUUUUCAUUGCUCUUGGGUACAUCAAUAUCAGACAGAACAGAUUUUAAGACAAGGAGUACUACUAGACACAAAAAGUCAUAUUUAAUAACAAUGAAAAGGUUAAUAUGCCAGGAUAUAAAAAAUUGUAAAUACACACACACACACACACACACACACAAACUACAACAAGAAAGACCCAAAAAGCACAAUAUAAAAAUUGAUUUAAUUGAAAAGACAAAUAGACAACUCAAUCAUUUUAGCUGAUAAUUUCAAUAUCUCUUUCUUAAUAGUUGAUAUACCAACUAGAGAGAAAUCAGUGAAGAUAUAGCAGACCUGAGCUAAACUCUUAACCAAGUUGACCUGAUACGUAUAGAACACUUCACAUAACAAUAGCAUAAUACACAUUCUUUUCAAGUGCACAUUUAAUAUGCUAGGCAUUAAACAAGACUUAAUAAAUUGAAAAGGACUAAAAUUAUAUAAGAAUAUUCUCCAACAAUAUUGGAAUAAAAUUAGAAACAAUCAACAGAAGAAAUAUGAGAAAUACCCAUGUGCUAGGAAAUUAAACAUUUCUAAAUAAUCCAUGGUCAAUAAGAAAUCACAAGAUAAAUUUAGAAAAUACUUAGAAAAACUUAGAAAAUAGAUAUAUUUUCACUUAGAAAAUAUCUCUAACUGAAUGAAAAUAGAAAGUACAACAUGUCAAAAAGUAUGAUAUGCAAUUAAGUCAGUGCCUAGAGGGAAAUUUACAGCUUUAAAUGCCUAGAUUCAAAAGAAGAAAGAUCUAAAAUCAAUAAUCAUAGUUUUUACCUCAAGAAGCUAAAGGAGGGAAAAAAAUAAAGGGAAGAAAGAAAGGAAAUUCAAGAGCAGAAAUUAAUAAAACAUAAUAUAAAACGCAACAGAAAAACUAAAAUAAAGCAACAACUUCUUGAAAGGGUAACAAAAUUGACAAACUUCUAAGUAGACUGAGGAUUUGGGGUGAGGGGAAGAAGAGAAAGGAAGGAAGGAAGGUGGGAGAGAGGGAGGGAGAGACAAGCAGCCAAUCAUAAAAUCAAGAAUAAGAGACAUGACUACAGACUAACCAUAAAUUAAAAGAAUUUUAAGGGACAAUUACAAAAACUCACAUUAGAUAAUUGGAUGAAAUGUACACGUUCCCAGAAAGAUGCAAACUUCUAAAAUGAGUUCAAAGAAGAAGUGAAAAAUCCGAAUAUCUAUACUGAUAAAAUAUUUUUAUUUUAUCAGUAAUCAGUAAUUUAAAAUCUUCUCCAAAUGUGAAGGCCAAUCCCAGUGGUUACACUGGUGAAUUCUACUACACAUUUAAGAAAAAAAAAUACUAACUUCACUUAAGUCUUCAGAAAUUACAGAAAAAAAAGAACCCUUUCCAGUUAAUUUAAUAGAGCCAGUAUUACCCUGAUAUCAAAGCCACACAAAAAUCUUACAAGAAAAUAAAACUACAGAACAAUAUUCCCUUAUGAAUACGAAUACAAAAAUCCUUAGCAACAUAAUAGCAAAUCAAAUCCAGCAAUAUAUAAAAUGCAUUUUAUAUCAUGACAAAGCAGGGUCUAUUCUGGGAAUUCAAAGUUGGUUUAACCUCUGAAAGAAUUCAUGUACUACACUAUAUUAAAAAAUACAAAAGUUAUACAACCAUGUCAACAGAAACAGAAAAACACAUUGCCAAAAUCCAACACCCAUUAAUAAUAACCAUAAAAAAACUCUUAACAAACCAGAAAAAAAGGUAACUUCAAUCUGAUAAAAGGCAUGUACCAAAAAUUUAAAGAUAACAUCAUCUUUAAUAGUGAAAGACUGAAUGUUUUCUCCCAAGGGAAUGAGGCAAGAAUGUCCACUCUCACCUCUUUUAUUCAUAUUGGACUGAAUGUUCUUGCCUGUGCAAUAAUGCAAUGAGAAAUAAAGAUAUACACAUUAAUAAAGAAUAAAUAAAUGUGUCUCUAUUCAUAGAAAACAUAAUUUAUAUAGAAAAUCUUAGGGAAUGUACAAGAAUUCUAGGACCAAUGAGUGAUUUUAGCAGAUAUAAGAUUUUAAAAACUCAAUUAUAUUUAUCUGUUCUAGUAGUAAAACAUGUAAAAAUGAAAUUAAGAAAACAGUUCCAUUUAAAAUAUAAUCAAGAAAAAAUACUUAGAAAUAAAUUAACAAAAUAAGUGCAAAAUCUGAACACUCAAAAUUACAAGAAAACUGCUGAGAAAAAAAUACAUAGAUUCUACACAAAUGUAGAAACAUACCAUGCUCCUGGAUCAGAAGAUUCAAUAUUGUUGAGACAGCAAUUGAUCUAUAGAUUCAGUGCAAUUCCUGUCAAAAUUCCAGCAGGUUUUAAAAGAAGCUGACAAGCUGAUCCUAAAAUGUUUGUGGAAGUGCAAAAAUAAAAUCUAGAAUUAGCAAAAACAUUUUAUGGAACAACAUAGUUAGAAUUAUUCUACCUGAUUCCAAACCUCACUAGAAAGCUAUAGUAAUUAAGAGAGUCUCAUGUUGGCAUAAGGAUAGACAUAUUUAUUAGUGGAAAAAGAAUAUAGGAUGCAGAAAUAAACUAACAUAACUAUGGUUACUUUUCUCUCAAGAAAGGCACCGAGGUAAUUCAAAGGGAAAAAAGAUAAUCUUUUCAACAAAUGGUACUGGAGCAAUUGGAUAUCAACAUGGAAAUUAAAACAAUAAGAUAGGCCAUGUGCCGUGGCUCACACCUGUAAUCCCAGCGCUUUGGGAGGCUUAGGCAGGCGGAUCACCUGCGGUCCGUAGUUCAAGACCAGCCUGGCCAAUAUGGUGAAACCCCGUCUCUACUAAAAAUACAAAAAUUAGCUAGUGUGGUGGCUCGUGC
rnacentral:lncRNA from 1 species